rnacentral:rRNA from 1 species
CCCUUAGAUGUUCUGGGCCGCACGCGCGCUACACUGACGAAUGCAACGAGCUUAUAACCUUGGCCGAAAGGUCUGGGUAAUCUCCAAAUUUCGUCGUGAUGGGGAUAGAUUAUUGCAAUUAUUAAUCUUCAACGAGGAAUGCCUAGUAAGCGCAAGUCAUCAGCUUGCGUUGAUUACGUCCCUGCCCUUUGUACACACCGCCCGUCGCUCCUACCGAUUGAAUGGUCCGGUGAAGCGUUCGGACCGUGGCCUUUGGACGGUUCGCCGUCUGUUGGCUGCGGGAAGUUCGUUAAACCUUAUCAUUUAGAGGUAGGAGAAGUCGUAACA